CUCUAUUUAAGCUUUACUAGGUCUAUUCAUUAAAGAGGUGAUGGAUAAAUUUUAGGGGUUAAUUUUCAGACUUCAAAAAAAAAGUAUUCUUUUAUUGUUUAUUAUUUUUCCGGCAAGUCACCGGAGCUCCGCCAAUUUCCGGUGAGUCCACCAACCAUAAACCCCAAAAUCUCCCUUCAUUUUUGCUCUUUUUUCCAGCAAACCAGACCUCCAGCAACCACCAACUCCAACAGCGAGACCAAAACAAGCCACCGGAACUCCACCACUACCAGACCCCACAUUCCGACCAAUAGCCAAAUCCAACCAGCAAACCACCACCCAGAAAACCCUUUCGUGCGGAUUUGAAACUAGCCACAAAAACCCAAAACAUCAACAGACCCAACUGCUCUUCUUAUUCCUUCGAACAACAAAACUGAAUAGAAACCCAAAACCUGACCCCCAUCCCGUUGCCUUCUUUUCUCUGACCAAGACCCAUCAAAAAUCCACCAAAAACCACCAGUAGAAAACCACCCAAAACCUCUCUAUUUUCCUUGAUAUUUCCCAGUGAACAACAACCCAGAACCACCACUCAAACUUUGUUUUCAACCUUGCACCAUCGGAGUAUCGAACAAAACCAACAACUCCGGCGAAAACCUACCGUGGUUCUUACUUCUCCACCUCUGCCAGUCCCAUUCCCUUUACCCUUUUCAUUUUUUUUAUUUUACAGGUAUAAAGAUCUAUAUAUUCUAGGCGAGCUCCAAGCUCUGACCUUCAAGCUCCAUUCCCGCGAAAUUUGAAAACAAAAUUGCCGACAGAGGCAACCAGCUGCCAGUCAAAUGAGCUCUAAGCUCUUUUCAUUUCUCUCGAAGCUCAGGAAAACAACCAGCAGUCCAACGAGCAAAACACCACCACAAAAUUCAACCUCCGACGUGGCUCCAUCUCCGAUAAACCCAACUCGCACAACAAACCGGUGAACAACCACACAUCACUGUAUUUCCGUUUCAUUUUGUUUGUUAAAAUUGGCUGAUGAAGAAAUUACCGUCGAUUUCCAAGGUCUUCCAUGUUGAUAAGACGGGUUUUAUUUCCAGUUAUUUAUUUCAUUUAUUUUAAUUCAUAUUUGUUUAUUAUUAACACUUUUAUUAAGUGUGUUUACAGGUAUUCCGGAGUCGCUUCCCAUUAAAGCUAUUUCAAUGGGAUUUGAAUUAUAAAAUUUUAUUUAUUAUUAUGUUUAUUGUUCAUGAUAGUAAGAUUUUGGUUGAUUCCUAUACUAUUGUUUUAUUAUAUUACUUGUGUAUAAUGCAUGUUUAUUACUUGUAUCUCCUCAAUUUGAAAAAUGAACUCACUCGGGAACCACAUUGUGGAUUCCGAAAGAUGCCUAACUCCUUACCUUCGAAAUAACUUGAAUCUCUUACCUAGAAUCAAUUUGUUUUGUAGACUUUCUUUUAAGUUAAUUAACUAAUCGGUUUUCUAAUUUCCCUAAAAAUUAGGUGGUGACUCCCUUUUCCGUUUAACCCAUUUGCACUUUUAUUAAAAUUAUUUUAAUUAACUCCUUUUAAAAUUGAGACCACCGCGACGUUGCACCCUCUCACAGGAUGUCAACAGAAUGAUGACUCUACCGGGGAUAUAGAGGUUCUAACCAUUAUGAGUUCAUUUUUUCAAAUUGAGGAAACAUUCUUUUAUUGUUUUAUUCAUUAUAUCUUGUAUGCUUUAUUGAUUAUUUGUAUAUUGUACUCAUUAUCUCUUCAUUAUUUUUUGUACAUUAUUGUUGUAUUCAUAACAUUUUUUUGAUAUAUGUAUAGUAUAUUUGAAAAUGAUUUUUGCAUAAUCGCAAUUAGACUUUUUA